CUAUAUAACACUAAAAGUUGUAAUAAUCAUUGUGUAAAUUUUAAGUAAGUAAAUUAUUUAUUACCUUGUAUUUUUUUUUUUUAAUUAUUUGGAUUUCAAUAGUGUUUUGUUUCAAAUAUAAAGGCCCGUGAAUUUUGUGGGCCUAGCCCAGUUAACCUCAGCAAGGGUAAAACGGUAAUUACACACUUGUUUCAAAAUCUACGUUGCGCGGAAAGAGAGCGGAGUUUCUCUUCUGUCUAAUCUUGCCUAUAAAAGCCCUAAGAUCUAGGGCGUGGGCGGACUCAGCCUGUAUCGUCUCCUUCGCGGAGACUCGGAGGCUGCGUAGUCGGGAUUCGGGCGCCAGGAAAAUCUAGUUUUCCGAGAAAACAAUCAUAUUUGCAAUUUCAUUCAUCGAGUAAGAUACUGCUCUGUGUGUUUGGUUAAGACAUUCUUCACCUUCUAACUACUAAAGGAACUAUACGACAUGGGAGGUGCAGUUCUUGAUAAAAGUUUGCAGCCAUAUGAAUCACAUAUUCCCUUCAUCCCCUAGUUUCUGACAGGUUUUGGAAGUAGUAGGAUCUGAACUAAUCAAGUUAAGAGACACUUUAAUCUCAAAAUCAUCAUGAGAAAGGCAUCUUGUUCUAUUGCUGAUAAUGGAGCAUCUUGCAAUGAAAGAUUGUUUUUAGGCAAGUUGAAGGAAUAAGAGGUAAAUGGUGAUGCCUAUACACAUGCUAUAUCUCUUGCAUUGGAGAAGUCCUUGAAGCUUAAGGCAAUGUUGGAUGGAUUGAAAAGGCAACAUGUACAUGGUUGCAGCCUUGUACACACAAAGGGGUUUAUGGGUACCAUGGAUCAGAGGAGCUAUUUGUAAAGAUAUAUCUGUGUCCAUUUUUUUACUUGUUUUAGUCUUCUGAUAAUAUUUUGAGAGCUUGUUGAUCACCUUGACAUUGUCUUAGUUACUAUCCGCAUGAUGUUGCUCGUGCUGCUAGUCUUCUUUUGGGAGGUGCAGUUCUUGAUAAAAGUUUGCAGCCAUAUGAAUCACAUUUUCUGAUUGACUACAACUUGUAUGGGAUGGGUUACAUACAUCUAUCAUAGAUCAAGUUCCGCCAUCCAGUGCCAAAUGUUUCCUCUGCACGGAAUACGGAUUACAAGAGUUUUCAGGCAGAUUCAAGUAGUGGUGCAAGUUUUAGUUUUCCAAUCUGGAUAUCUUCUACUAGUCUCAGCGAACUGGAUGUGGCAUCUUUCUAAUGAAUUCGCUGCUUUGAAAGAUUCACAACUUGACCAUGUCAAACGUAAAGUGCUUGUGGACUUGACAGUGAUGCUGCUGUUGAAGGUUUGCUUAGCUUCAAAGAUAUGUUUAUGAAGCUUCUUUUGCAUGAUGAUGUCAGUACUAAACUUCCAUCAUCUGCAUUGUCACAGACAUUCUUAAUCAACAAUUUAAAAUUGAUUUCAUCAAAUCCAUAAUUGUUGCCGGAGGAGUAUGAAAGAAGUGGAAUGCAUGAGCCAACUGUACCUCCUGAAUCUGGGAAACCACUCCCUGGAGAUGUUCUGAAAACUCUAUCACUUGAUCUUGGAUUUGAAAAUAAAUUUGCAGAAUUGUGCAAUGAAGCAGAAGAGAUUUUAACUUUAUCUCAAAGUGAUGAGAAACCUGUGCAGUCAAUGGCGUCAUCUGCUGAUGAGGAAAAUUUUUCUGCACUUGCUCAUGUCAACCCUGACAACAUUAAUCUGCAAGCUUUACAUUGUUCCAGAGAGAAAUAUACUUAGAUCUCUGUCAACACAAGUGCUGCAAUGUGAAGAUAAAAUGGAUGGAACACCCUCAGAAGGAAAUGAUACUGAAGAUAUGGAAGCUUUGGAGCUCCUAAAGUGGCUUGCUUCUUCUCAGGCUGCUGAAGUUAUAAAUUCAGAUGGUUGCCUGCAACAACCAUUGACAAGGUACUGGAGAAAGCUAACAUGGAUUAUGAGAGUGAAUCCCAAAAGGAGUGUCAGGAUAUCCUUGAUUCCGUUGAAGACUCUGUUGAUUUUGGGGCUACGAAGGAAAGAGCUUCUAAUAAUGUUUUUCCUUGCAAUCAUAUCUCCAAGCUUUCAGCUGAUGAAAAGAUCCCUCAAUUGGAUGGCUCUGGUGAUGAUCCUCGCAUAUCCCCUUCUGCUGGAUCAACUGAAGGUUCAUUUUAAGUGAACCUAAAUAGAUACCCCAACAAGCAUUGGUUGAUCCUAACAAAAGCACCACUAGUGAGGAGAAAACUAGAAAAUCUUUACAUUCUCUGUCAUUUAUCAUGUCAUGGCUGGAAAUGGUUUAGGCAUAUCUUCUAAUCCUUUAGGGAAACAUGUAGAUAAAGAUGCUUGUGGUGUAAAGGUUUUAAACAAAUUGACCGGGCGCUCGGUUCGGGACCCCGAUGAGGCGAAAGAGAUGCAAUAAAUUUGAACCCAGAUGAUUGUUUCCCUCCA